rnacentral:rRNA from 1 species
UAAAAAUAAGUUAAAAAUUUAAUUUUCUCGAACUUAGAAGAGCUAUUUAAUUAUAGGUUUUAUUGUAGAAUAAAUAUUUUUAAUAAUUAAUUGGUAAUGAAAUGUUAUUCGUUUCUAAAUAUAUCUAGUUUUUUAAGAAAUAGAUUAAAUCUAUUUGGUUUUACUCAGUUUUCUAAGUUUUUAGUUUUCUGUGUGGGUUAGGAAAUGCUUCAAGGGAUGAGCUUUGGGGUAUAUUUUUAUAAAUUAAUUGAUUUUAAAAUAUAGGUAGGAUUAGAAGUUUCCAUUUUUAUAAGGAUGUUACAGUUGAUUUUUUUUAUAUAAGAUUUAUAUUUGUUUUAAGUUUUUUAUUAAAAUUUAGUUUUUAAUUUUUUUUGUCUAGUAAUAAUGAUUGAAUUAGUAUAUAAAAUUGUUAUUUUUAAUAUAAAUAUCAAGGUUAGUAAAAGGAAUUCGGCAAAAAAUUUUUCACCUGUUUAUUAAAAACAUGGCCUUUUGAUUAUUAUUUAAGGUCUAUCCUGCCCACUGAGGGUUUAAAUGGCCGCGGUAUCUU